rnacentral:rRNA from 1 species
CGCGUAGGCGGCUUUGUAAGUCGGAUGUGAAAGCCCUGGGCUCAACCUGGGAAUGGCAUUCGAUACUGCAUGGCUAGAGUAUGGUAGAGGGAAGUGGAAUUUCCGGUGUAGCGGUGAAAUGCGUAGAUAUCGGAAGGAACACCGGUGGCGAAGGCGACUUCCUGGGCCAAUACUGACGCUGAGGCGCGAAAGCGUGGGUAGCAAACAGGAUUAGAUACCCUGGUAGUCC